AUCAAUAUUGUCUAAUUAAAUGUGCAUCAAGUGUUAGAAUUAGGCAUUAGAAGCACUUUUAAAAGUAGAAUAAAAUAAAUUGCCAGGUCGAAACUUGUAUAACUAAAACAGUCAAAAUAAAGGUUCCAAUUAGAACCAAAAAAGGGCUUUAGUGAUCAAUGAGAAACACAUUGGUAACACUUUACAAUAAGGUUCAUUUAUUAACAUUAACUACAUUAGUUAACAGGGAAAAAAUUGUAUUUAGCAGUUUGGCAGGUUAGACAGUAAUUUCAGUUAGGCUUAAGUAGAUUCAAUUAGGUUGAUAACCUCAAAUGAAAAAAAAAACAAAACAAAAAAACAAACUUAAAAGGUGCAAUGCAUAAAAUUUAGGAGGAUCUAUUCGGUUGUUAAGUCUGAUGUCACGCUGCAGCGUUUCUGGGUCCAAACGCUUUAUCUCAUACCACAAGAAAACAACAAUAAUAAAUAGUUAAAAUAUUAAUGUCUGUGACGCUGUGAGCACGGAGACUGUUAUGUAGACUCUAAGUAUUUUAAAUGUUUAACUUUAAAAUGUUAAAUGUUUAAUAUGAAUAAAUGGCGCUCAUAAACGGCCGUGAAGAUACCAUUCUCAAAUGAAAGGAGUCGAGGCUUGGACCCAGAAACGGCGUUCCUUACAUCGCGACUUAACAAGUAGAUUGACAGAAAUGCAAUAUAAUAUAGGCCCAUAUAACUAGGCUAUGUUUUGAGUGGUGUAUAAAGAGCUUGCAUAAUGAACCGUUACCUUAGAACGAGCCAUUUCUAUCUCAUACACCGCAGGUCCUCCCUCCAUCCCAGAUAGCAACAGACUCCGGGGCGGAUCCGCCUUCAAGUCGCCAGCUCCGCUGUACGCUCAGAUUCAAUUCGGCAACGCGCACAGGAUAUGCCCCGCCUCCGCACAGCGCACUGUCAACUCGCGGACUCGUUACAGAUGCUGGGCGGAUUCACUGACCGGACGCGCCUUUUUUCAACUGUCGUCGUCACUGAAUCCUUCUCCUCACCGUGGAAAAGCUGGAGCCGGCAGGUCGGUGAAGACUAAACACGCUUACAGCUCAUUCAAGUGCCGCCAGUGUGUUUUUGGAGUAUUUCUUCUUUCUAUUUCAUCUUUCAUCUGAGGAAAAUCAUUAUUUCAUAUCAUAGAGAGGAAAUGUCAUUGCUCCCUAUGUAGGCCUCACCGAGCCAUGAGAUUCAAUCAAAAUAUCUUAAUUUGUGUUCUGAAGAUGAACGAAGGCAUCACGGGUGUAGAACGACAUGAGGGUAAGUAAUAAAUGACAUUAUUUUCAUUUUUGGGUGAACUAACCCUUCAACUAUAAGAAAUUGACAAGAUUUUUGUUACAUUUUCUAUUUUAUCCCGUGCAACUGUUGGGCGCCAUGACACAAAAUGUGUCACAAGGAACAUCCUUUCCCGCAUUCAACCACAUGGAGUCCAAGAAGUUCCUCCUGUGUGCUGUGAGAAAGAACCAUGUAUCACGUACCGCCACUGAUGAAGACAUUACAAAACACAAUACGAUGGUUCAGCCUGGCAGCUGAUAGGGGAAGCUCCAGGAACCGUCCCACUGUGAGCACCCAACAGUAGAGUUUCAGAGUAUCAUUGGCUACGUUUACAUGCACCGAUUUUCGUCAAUCUGAAUUAAUUGAAUCUGAUUGCAGAUCUGUUUACAUGUACUAUAAACAUUGUAAUCUGAUUCAAAUAUCCAUUUAUAUUUGUUUUAUAUACAUUCCGAUUAAAACUUUGAUGUCAUAUCAAUCACACUUGCGGUAACCCAGGUUGCGUCAACAGAGUCAGAGAUAUUGUCAAAUGCAGCAAAUCUUGGCAAUAUUAAGAGGAUUUGGUAUUUCCAAUUAAUGUAGGCCUGUUACAUACUUCUAGUCUAUUAUUAUUACUAUUAGGUUAGGCUUCUUUCUUUUAUUAUUAAAUUAAUAUUAUAAUAAAUUUGCCCCACAAUUUCAUAGCGCAUCGCCGCAUAACUGGCGUGCUCUGAGAAUAAUAUAACUUAUAAGAUUAGGCUAUUAGCUAUCUUUGAAAAUGAUUUAAACUUUUUUUAGGUCUGAUACAAUGAAUUAUAGGCCUAUAAUUAAAGUUAUUAAGAAUGUCAAUGAAAAUUAAGCGCAGCUUUACUUCAAGCACUGACUUUAAAAAACAAACCACCUGUUUAACACGAAAUACUAUUAUUCUCAUUUGUUUCACUAGCUUAUAUGUACGGCCACAAGUGAAAUAAUGGAAUAAAUUUAGACAGUUACAUAGGCUACCGUUAUCAGCAUUUUAUGUUGAAAUUUGUCUCUGAGAAUAUGCUUUGUUAAAGCAGCCUCAGACAGCUCAGUCACUUUUUACUUUUUGUGGUGAAUACUGACCGAGUUUGAGACUUUUUCAUCAGCAUAACUCUUGCGCAAAGUUUGGACGUUGCUUCUUGUGUGAUAUCCACUGGCUCCCCGUCUUGUCUUAAAAUGGAAGAAUAUUGUGACGAAGUGAUACAUACGCCACUGCCUGUUGACAUACAUCUUUACAACUAAAGACGUGAACGUUAACUUUAAAUGCGUGUCAGCAUUGCACUGUUGUGCCCCAGAGGCUUCUGAAUACUAUUGAGAAAGUAGUCGGAUUCAAUGUUUACAUGGUUAUUUUUUGCUGUUUGAUCGGAUUAGAAAAGGAAUAAACCACCCCUUCCAAUCCGAUCGAAAUUUCAUUCAGAUCGAUUAAGGUGUUUACAUGAACGUUUUUCAAUCCGAUUGAGCCGUCAAUCCGAUUACAAAUGGAUUAUUUGGGUGCAUGUAAACGUAGCCAAUG